rnacentral:rRNA from 1 species
GGUCCUACGGGGGGCAGCAGUGGGGAAUAUUGCACAAUGGGGGAAACCCUGAUGCAGCGACGCCGCGUGAGCGAAGAAGUAUUUCGGUAUGUAAAGCUCUAUCAGCAGGGAAGAAAAAUGACGGUACCUGAGUAAGAAGCACCGGCUAAAUACGUGCCAGCAGCCGCGGUAAUACGUAGGGGGCAAGCGUUAUCCGGAUUUACUGGGUGUAAAGGGAGCGUAGACGGCGAUGCAAGUCUGAAGUGAAAGCCCGGGGCUCAACCCCGGGACUGCUUUGGAAACUGUAUGGCUGGAGUGCUGGGGAG